rnacentral:rRNA from 1 species
AGCAGCCGCGGUAAUUCCAGCUCCAAUAGCGUAUAUUAAAGUUGUUGCAGUUAAAAAGCUCGUAGUUGAAUUUCGGGAUCGAUACGUCGGUCGUGCCUUCGGUACGUACUGUCGUCAUCGGUUUCUCCCUUCUGACGAACCAUGAUGUCAUUAAUUUGGUGUUAUGGGAAAUCAGGACUGUUACUUUGAAAAAAUUAGAGUGUUUAAAGCAGGCAUUAGCUUGAAUACAUUAGCAUGGAAUAAUGAAAUAGGACGUUCGAACCUAUUUUGUUGGUUUUUAGGAUCAACGUAAUGAUUAAUAGGGAUAGUUGGGGGCAUUAGUAUUCAAUUGUCAGAGGUGAAAUUCUUGGAUUUAUUGAAGACUAACUACUGCGAAAGCAUUUGCCAAGGAUGUUUUCAUUAAUCAAGAACGAAAGU